rnacentral:rRNA from 1 species
CCUACGGGAGGCAGCAGUGAGGAAUAUUGGUCAAUGGACGCAAGUCUGAACCAGCCAUGCCGCGUGCAGGAAGACGGCUCUAUGAGUUGUAAACUGCUUUUGUACGAGGGUAAACGCAGAUACGCGUAUCUGUCUGAAAGUAUCGUACGAAUAAGGAUCGGCUAACUCCGUGCCAGCAGCCGCGGUAAUACGGAGGAUUCAAGCGUUAUCCGGAUUUAUUGGGUUUAAAGGGUGCGUAGGCGGUCGGAUAAGUUAGAGGUGAAAUCCCGAGGCUCAACUUCGGAAUUGCCUCUGAUACUGUUCGGCUUGAGAGUAGUUGCGGUAGGCGGAAUGUAUGGUGUAGCGGUGAAAUGCUUAGAGAUCAUACAGAACACCGAUUGCGAAGGCAGCUUACCAAGCUACUUCUGACGUUGAGGCACGAAAGCGUGGGGAGCAAACAGGAUUAGAUACCCUAGUAGUC